UACGUAGGGUGCGAGCGUUAAUCGGAAUUACUGGGCGUAAAGCGUGCGCAGGCGGUCGUGCAAGACAGAUGUGAAAUCCCCGGGCUUAACCUGGGAACUGCAUUUGUGACUGUACGGCUGGAGUGCGGCAGAGGGGGAUGGAAUUCCGCGUGUAGCAGUGAAAUGCGUAGAUAUGCGGAGGAACACCGAUGGCGAAGGCAAUCCCCUGGGCCUGCACUGACGCUCAUGCACGAAAGCGUGGGGAGCAAACAGG
rnacentral:rRNA from 1 species